UUAUUUCCCUGAUUUUUUGUGCCCCAUUCCUGUGAUUAUUCCCAUUAUUUCCCUGAUUUUUUGCACCCCAUUUUUGGCAUUUUUUGCGCCCCAUUCCUGUGAAUAUUCUGAUUAUUUCCCUGAUUUUUUGCACCCCAUUUUGGCAUUUUUUGUGCCCCAUUUCUGUGAUUAUUCCCAUUAUUCCCCCCAUUUUCAGGACCCCAUUCCUGUGAUUAUUCCCAUUAUUUCCCUGAUUUUUUCCGCCCCAUUCCUGUGAUUAUUCCCAUUAUUUCCCGGAUUUUUUGUGCCCCAUUCCUGUGAUUAUUCCCAUUAUUUCCCUGAUUUUUUCCGCCCCAUUCCUGUGAUUAUUCCCAUUAUUUCCCUGAUUUUUUGUGCCCCAUUCCUGUGAUUAUUCCCAUUAUUUCCCUGAUUUUUUCCGCCCCAUUCCUGU
rnacentral:lncRNA from 1 species